rnacentral:rRNA from 1 species
UUUUAUGGAGAGUUUGAUCCUGGCUCAGGAUGAACGCUGGCGGCGUGCCUAAUACAUGCAAGUCGAGCGAACAGAUAAGGAGCUUGCUCCUUUGACGUUAGCGGCGGACGGGUGAGUAACACGUGGGUAACCUACCUAUAAGACUGGAAUAACUCCGGGAAACCGGGGCUAAUGCCGGAUAACAUGUUGAACCGCAUGGUUCUA